GACGAACGCUGGCGGCGUGCCUAAUACAUGCAAGUAGAACGCACAGUUUAUACCGUAGCUUGCUACACCAUAAACUGUGAGUUGCGAACGGGUGAGUAACGCGUAGGUAACCUGCCUGGUAGCGGGGGAUAACUAUUGGAAACGAUAGCUAAUACCGCAUAAUAUUGAUUAUUGCAUGAUAAUUGAUUGAAAGAUGCUAUUGCAUCACUACCAGAUGGACCUGCGUUGUAUUAGCUAGUAGGUGAGGUAACGGCUCACCUAGGCGACGAUACAUAGCCGACCUGAGAGGGUGAUCGGCCACACUGGGACGGAGACACGGCCCAGACCCCUACGGGAGGCAGCAGUAGGGAAUCUUCGGCAAUGGACGAAAGUCUGACCGAGCAACGCCGCGUGAGUGAAGAAGGUUUUCGGAUCGUAAAGGUCUGUUGUAAGAGAAGAACGGGUGUGAGAGUGGAAAGUUCACACUGUGACGGUAUCUGAGCAGAAAGGGACGGCUAACUACGUG
rnacentral:rRNA from 1 species